rnacentral:sRNA from 12 species
CCUUGACAGUCGCAUACUGCGGCUGACACUAGCCAAGACAAGGAGUUCCCAUG